rnacentral:rRNA from 1 species
UACGUAGGGACCGAGCGUUGUCCGGAUUCAUUGGGCGUAAAGAGCUCGUAGGCGGCUGUUCAAGUCGAACGUGAAAACUCGGGGCUCAACUCCGAGCCUGCAGUCGAUACGGGCAGACUAGAGUUCGGCAGGGGAGACUGGAAUUCCUGGUGUAGCGGUGAAAUGCGCAGAUAUCAGGAGGAACACCGGUGGCGAAGGCGGGUCUCUGGGCCGAUACUGACGCUGAGGAGCGAAAGCGUGGGGAGCGAACAGG